CUAAGUUUGAUGGCGACCGGCGCACGGGUGAGUAAUACGUAUCCAACCUGCCGAUGACUCGGGGAUAGCCUUUCGAAAGAAAGAUUAAUACCCGAUGGCAUAGUUCUUCCGCAUGGUGGAACUAUUAAAGAAUUUCGGUCAUCGAUGGGGAUGCGUUCCAUUAGGUUGUUGGCGGGGUAACGGCCCACCAAGCCUUCGAUGGAUAGGGGUUCUGAGAGGAAGGUCCCCCACAUUGGAACUGAGACACGGUCCAAACUCCUACGGGAGGCAGCAUG
rnacentral:rRNA from 1 species